AACGAACGCUGGCGGCAGGCCUCAAACAUGCAAGUCUAGGGGGUGUAGCAAUACAUCACCGGCGGACGGGUGCGUAACGCGUGGGAAUAUACCUAUCGAUUCGGAACAACUGAGGGAAACUUCAGCUAAUACCGAAUACGUCCUAACGGAGAAAGAUUUAUCGUCGAUAGAUUAGCCCGCGUUCGAUUAGCUAGUUGGUGGGGUAACGGCCCACCAAGGCGACGAUCGAUAGCUGUUCUGAGAGGAAGAUCAGCCACACUGGGACUGAGACACGGCCCAGACUCCGUACGGGAGGCAGCAGGUGGGGAAUAUUGCGCAAGUGGGACGAAAGCCUGACGCAGCGACGCCGC
rnacentral:rRNA from 1 species